AUCGCUGCUGCCAACCUAUCUACCGCUGCCAACCUACCUAUCGCUGCCAAUCUAUCUACCACUGCUAAUCUAUCGCUGCUAAUCUAUCGCUGCUAAUCUAUUGCUGCUAAUCUAUCUAUCACUGCUAAUCUAUCGCUGCCAACCUACCUACCGCUGCCAACCUAUCUACCACUGCCAAUCUACCUACCGCUGCCAACCUACCUACCACUGCUAAUCUAUCACUGCUAAUCUAUCGCUGCUAAUCUAUUGCUGCUAAUCUAUCGCUGCUAAUCUAUUGCUGCUAAUCUAUCUAUCACUGCUAAUCUAUCGCUGCCAACCUACCUACCGCUGCCAACCUACCUACCGCUGCCAACCUACCUACCACUGCUAAUCUAUCACUGCUAAUCUAUCGCUGCCAACCUAUAUAGGGUAAAUCAUGGUCCCAUUUGGUCCCAUUUUGUAAAAUGGGACCAAAUGGGACUGGGACCACUAAUUUAUUAGUAAAACAUGAUCUGGGACUAGAUUUAUAAUAUAAACAGUGUAAAGUGACUAAUUUACUAAACACUAUAUGGGACCAGGACUAAGAUAUCUAAUAAUGGGACUGAGGAAAAAUUUGGUCCCAGUCCCAUGCAUGGUCACACGGCCAGUCUAUUCUCAGCAGAAUUCAUUAUAAACUAAAGUAUGAGAAUUUAAAUCAGAAAUUUCAGAGAGAUAUCUGAAGAAGUUUUUUUUCAAAGUCAUACACACAUCAGAAAAAUGUGUAGAUAUUUAAUAAUAAACUGUAUAAAUUGAAG
rnacentral:sRNA from 2 species